rnacentral:rRNA from 1 species
UCGCCUGUUUAUCAAAAACAUGUCUUUUUGUAAUUUAUUUAAAGUCUAACCUGCCCAUUGAAAAUAAUUUUAAAAGGCUGCGGUAUUUUGACCGUACAAAGGUAGCAUAAUCAUUAGUUUUUUAAUUGAAAGCUUGUAUGAAUGGUUUAAUGAGAUACUUUCUGUUUCAUUAGAAUUUUUGUAGAAAUUAAUUUUUUAGUUAAAAAGCUAAAAUAUAAUUAAAAGACGAGAAGACCCUAUAGAGUUUUAUAUAACUUUUUUUAUAGUUUAUUUAUAAUAAUUAAAGUUUUAUUUAGUUUUAUAUUUUGUUGGGGUGACAGUAAAAUUUUACAAUCUUUUAUUAUUUUUUAACAAUGAUUAUUGAAUAAUUGAUCCAUUUUUAAUGAUUAAAAGAUUAAAUUACCUUAGGGAUAACAGCGUAAUUUUUUUGUAGAGUUCUUAUCGAUAAAAAAUUUUGCGACCUCGAUGUUGGAUUAAGAAUAAUUUUAGGUGUAGAAGCUUAUUAAUUAGGUCUGUUCGACCUUUAAAUUCUUACGUGA